rnacentral:hammerhead_ribozyme from 1 species
AUCCAGCUGAGGAGUCCCAAACAGGACGAAGGGUAUGUCCUAGAU